CGCCUACGUUACAAUUGUGGGUGCGAAGGGAGAGUGGCCCUCGCGGAAGGCUCCCGGGGCGGGAGAAGCAGCGCGGCCCGCUCCGACCCCGGGAGUGAGGUGAGGGCGGGCCAUGGCCGACAGGCUGAGGAGCCUGGUGGGCGCGGAGAGCGGCCGCGCGCUGCAGGAGAAGCUGGAGCGAUGGUACCGCGACUACGAGAUUAAUUCCUGUGAUCAGAAUCUGAACCGAUGCUGUGAAAUAAUAGAAUUAAACUCUGAGAUUCAAGGGCAGCUCUUCGCAAUCCUCUAUGAAACAUCUCAAGAAGGUGGGCAUUGUGCAGGUGUGGAAACAAUAAAAACUCGUCUCCUGCCAUGGCUAAGGACUUGUUUUUCCUGCACUACUUCAGGAAAACUCUUUGAAAACAACCUCUCUCUCACUCAGGAUUCAAUUGAGAAAGAGAAGCAGCUGUUAGGCCUGCCCAGCAAUCUGAAUUUUCGUCUGCAGGAGCUGGAGAAAGAACUGACUUCAACUCGUAUAGAGCUCAGCCGAGCGAAACAACUGCUUCCACGGAGCCGCUCUCCUUCUCCAAGGCGUGGUGUGAGCAAGUCAUGUAGUCCACUUCACCUGAGGAGCUAUUCACCUGGCCGAGCCAGGCGUACAAAUGCUUCACGCCGUGCCUUCUUGGUAGCUCGCUUUGGUGACAUUUAUGCUCAAGAACGCUUGGAGGCAGAGACCCUUUUGAGGAAAUACAUCAGUGACAUGGAGAUGGUGCAGAGAAUAAUAUAUGCUGCAGCUGUGGAGUCUUUUCAUGCAGCAAAGAUGGCAUACAGGCAAUUCAAAAUACAUGUAAGAGAGACUUUGUCUAUAGGUCACUCGGGGCCUGAGUCACUUGAGGACAAGGUCCUGGAUUUUAUAGUUCAGCACGAGGACCUGUAUGGUGUUCAAUCCAGUGUCAACGAAGUAAUUCGCUCCAUGAACAUCAACCCGAAGAUUUCACUUCCACCAGAAAUUGAUUUCAUUGUGAUCAGCACUUUGAUACGAGAGUUGUGCUGUGUGGCUUUUUCAAUGCAGACACUUGUUCCUCCUCUUGAUAUUUCCGUUGGUAUUGAUGGAGAACUUUUUAGUGAAAACAAGUAUCAUCGUGGUGUGGAGUCUGAUUUCACGGCUGCCUUGGUGGCUUAUCAUGUAUGGCCUGCUCUGAUGGAAAAUGAUGUUGUAAUUGUGAAGGGAAGAGCAGUCACAAAAAGAGGGGCUCUGUGGCCUUGCAGAAGUAGAGGUAAAAGCAGAAGCAGAAGCUGCAGCCGCAGCCGUAGCACCAGUCCUCUUCUAUCUCGUCAUGUAAGCCCCAGCAGGAUGCCUGUAGUAUAAAUGACAUCAAGUAUUUUAAAGUCAGAAUUUGUCUCGAAGCCGCAGUCUUUCACCACUGAGGAGUGGAAGCUCAAGGCAUUAAAUUAACUGACCAUGUUCCUGUCAUUCAGUGUAUCUGGAUCUAACAACUUCACUGGUGCCUUUUCUCUUCAAGAAUACCUCAAAUCUUGCAGUAACGUGAAUGGCAAUUGUCACUCCAAAUGGAGUUUGUGUUCAGUGUGGUUUUUUGAGUUAUGAAAGGCUUAUUUAUAGUGUUAGAAACUAAUUCAGCGUUUCUGAUUUUUGUUUUUAAAAAGUGCAUGCAGUACAGGAUCACACUCAUUUGGAAAAAAUUGCAGAGCACAGAGGAAUCCAUGCUGUAAUCCUGCAGAUUAUUUUGUAAUAAUUCUAUCUGUGAUGUUUUCAACAGAUACAAAAUAAUGCAGUUUAUCUUGAUAAGAUGUUUAAUAUAACCCAAUUGGUGAACGUUGCAGAAUGUUGACGUUAGGUGUUACUUGAAAACAAUUUAAUUGUUGCUUAACAAUUUUAGAAAAUGGCCUUAGUCUUAGGAUGUUUCAGUCUCACACAGCUUCCUAUUAAGUACAUCCUUGUUGUAAACUGUACUUUCUAACCACAAUGCAAAAGCUGCACGGGACUGUCCUAACUUACCAAUAAUCCAGCAAUCCACAGGACUUUAUUGACAUUUAAAUUGGACAUAUAAAUUGGAGAGAUAUGGAUUUGAUGGGUGGAUUGUUUGGUGGAUAAGGAAUUGGUUGAAUGGUCACGUUCAGAGGGUAGUGCUCAAUGGCUUGAUGUCCAGAUGGCAAUCAGUGACAACUGAUGUCCCUCAGGGGUCCAUACCGGGACCACUGCUGUUCGAUAUUUUCGUUGAUGUUACAGAGAGCAGGAUCAAGUGCACCCUCAGCCAGUUUGCAGAUGACACCAAGCUGAGUGGUGUAGUUGUCACUCCAGGAUGGGAUGUCAUCCAGAGAGACCUGGACAAGCUGGAGAAGUGGGCCUGUGUGAACUUCAUGAGGUUCAAUAUGGCCAAGUGCAAGGUCCUACACCUGGAUCAAGGCAAUUUGCUGUUUCAAUACAGGGUAGGGGAUGAUGUGAUUGAGAGCAGACCUGUGGAGAAGGACUUGAGUGUGCUGAUUGAUGAGAAGCUUGACGUGAGCUGACAAUGUGUGCUCGCAACCCAGAAAGCCUGGGCUGCAUCGAAAGAAGCAUGGCCAGCAGGUCGAGGGAGGUGAUUCUGCCCCUCUGUUCUCAUGAGACCUCACCUGGAAUAUUGUGUCCAGUUCUGGAAUCCCCAACAUAAGGAAGAUAUAGACCUGUUGGAGUUGGUCCAGAGGAGGGCCACAAUGAUGAUCAGGAGGCUGGAGCAUCUCUGCUAUGAGGACAGGCUGUUCAGCCUGGAAAAGAGAAGGCUCUGAGGGUACCUGAAGGGGUAUCUACAGGAAAGAUGGAGAGGGACUUAUUACAAGGGCAUGUAGUGAUAGGAUGAGGGGGAAUACCUUUAAAUUGGUAGGGGAAGAUUUAGAUUAGACGUUGGAAGAAAUUCUUCACGAUGAGGCUGGUGAGGCUGGUGACACUGGCACAGGUUGCCCAGGGAAGUUGUGGAUGCCCCAUCCCUGGAAAUGUUGAGGGCCAGGUUGGAUGGGGCCUUGAGCAGCCUGAUCUAGUGGGAGGUGUCCCUGCCCAUGAUAGGGGAGUUGGAACUGGAUGAUCUUUAAGGUCCCUUCUAGCCCAAACUAUUAUAUGAUUCUGUUAAAGUGCAGGUGUGUGCUUUAGCAAAGUUGUUAUACUCUAUACAAAAUUCUUUGUUACUUAGAAGUGAAUCUCAUAAAAAUUUGUAGUUUGGAACCUAAACUAUUCUGAAAGUGUGCCACAGACUAUUUGUAGGCUUGAAAUAUUUAAUAGGCUUUCAUAGCAGACUGAGUAAUUCUCUUAAACCUGGUGGGGGGAAAAAGCCCUGUCCAGGUCUCUCUUACUGUGGGUGUUAAUUAUUAUGUUUUAAGUGUAAAAAUUAGAGACAUGAAGUUAGUUCAUUCUGGCACUUCAAAUAUUUUUUUCCUUUUGUAAAUGUUUAUUGUAAAGUCAGCAUUUUUGUUUUUGAGAAUUGAUACCAUCUUUCUUUCAGAACCUCAUCUGUAGUGCCAGCCUUAAACAUGAGCCACACAAGUGACUGCUUGAGGCCUUGUUCUUUUAGUUAGAAAUAUAGAAUUUGUUGUAGCUGAGCUGAUGUGUAACUUGCCAACCACACUGUCUUAAUCCAGUCAAUACCUGCUGCUUCAAAGGUAUGUGGAACUUUCCCCAAAUUAAUCUCAACAAUUUUGGAAUAUAAACAAUUAGAAGGAGGAAAAAAAUCCUUUAUGCCUCCUCUUUUCAUCAGCUUAUGCCCUGGUACAUAUUUCAUUAGUACUACUAUAAUAACACGAGCAACACUAUUUUAUUAGUUCUGAAACUAUUUAGUCCUUAAAAUUAAGUUACAGGAGCAAAGUUUGUGAUCACUUUCCAAGGAUCUUAUGUAGAUUUACAUAUCCAUACUCUUUCAGUCUGCUUCUUGUGUGGCUUAAGACUUCAGCACAUAGUCAGAUUUCCAGCAGACUUUAGCGUUGAUUCCCAUAGAUCAGCUGUAACUCUAGUUACACAGAUGUAUUUUCAUUGGAAUUAGGCCCAUUAGUUACCAAUGAGAGCAAAAUGAAGUCUUUUACUUAGAGCGUUAUUCAUUAUGAACUAAGGGGACACAAAGGCAUGUGAACGUUGUUUAGUGUACUUCCUUUUAUCUGAGAAAGUCACAAAAUAAAAUGCAAAACAGUAUGUUUCCUGUUCUAAGAGCCCGAUUGUUGGUCACAGCUAUGGAUUUGGGCUUGAAGUACAACUACAUAUUUCUGCACUGAUCUCAUAACUAAAACCACCACAGUUCUGGAAAAACUGAGCACCUGCAACUUGUGUGGCAACAAACAAUAACUAGAAACCCAAAAUACAGUUUUGAGUAGAAAAAUGAAGAAUUUAGAGAAACCUUGUAAUUACCAUGGGCAAAGGAGAGGUCGUUUUUUAAAAAAAUUAGGUAUUGUGUGUUUGUCUGUUGCAUGUAAUUACGAAGACAUUUCUGUGUUGUUAUUUUGAUGGAACUAAGUUUCCAUGCCAAUUGUGAGAAAGCCAGUGAAUGCAUCAAGGAAGUAUAUUUUUCUUGACAAGCAUGAGAGGCAGAAUAGUUCCAGACUUGCACACACUUGUGAUGCCACUGUGAACUAAUAUUCCCAAAGAUCUAAAAAUUCUAUAAAAGACAAACUCUCGGUGCUUGGUGGGUCAUCUCGUUUUGCUCCCCCAGCAGGUACCUGGAGAACUAGUUAGUCUCAAAGUAAAGGAGGAAACUAAUGAAAUGACAGCCAAUGACUUGUUUUGGUAGUGAGAAACCAGCUCUGGGGUUGUGGUGGUGGUUUGUUUGGUUGUUUUUUUGUGUGGUUUUUUUUGUUUUUUUUUUGUUUUGUUGUGUUUUUUCUUCAUCAUGUUUCAGAGCAGAGCAAACCAUUUUCAGCAAAAUAGGAACUCAGUCCACAGCGUGGUAACAAUUAGUUAAACAAACCUAACUCUACUCAGUUGUAUUCUGCAGCCCAUAGUCUUUUUACUGAAAUAUACUGUUUUGUACUAGGUGCCCAUCCAGCUUAUUUAUAGUCCAUUAAAUCUAUAAGUCAGAUAAAAGAUUGCUUUUGGUGUCGAGUUAGACACUAAUAGCUCCCUUGCUUCAUUUUAUUCACACAACAGCAUUGCAGAGGAUGUAUAGCAACAGCGAUUAUAGGGAAUUAACCAGCAAAUGCAAAGUAACUUGUAAAAAGGGACUUCCAUAGUUGUGUUUAAGACCCUAUAUUUUAAUUAGAGUUUUUAAAAUCUUAGAUAAAAUAUUUCAGUUUUCUUUUUCUUUUCUUUAAAUCAUAAGCCUGGAUAAUGCCACACUUGUAAAUAUAGCAAAGUAGAAAAAGAAGAAAUCCUCUAUUCCAAGAGAGUUUUAGAAACAGGAUGUUCACGUUUGAAGUGUUAAUAUCAGGAAAAAGAAGGCUAGAUUUUGAGCUAAUGUAAACUCUCUGCAGGUGGCCUGAUGGAAGUGAGACUGCACAGGAUGUAAAAUAGCACCACCUUUGGGCCGAAGUGUACAUGUAGAAAAGUGCACAUUUGUGUGGGAUUUUGAGACUGCCUGAGAAUUUCUUCUGCAUGUCAGCUCUUUGAAGGUUGAUCAUGUUUGUUUCAAUUCAUAGGCUGUCCUGGAGUCAGUCUAAACAUGUUGAUGUCUUCUCACCUGUCCCUGGGAAAAUACAACAUCAUCAAAAUAUCUUCAGUGUUCCUCCUUCAAUGUUUGUAGCUCAAACAUAGACACUCAUGCAGAACUAGCAGAUAAUGAGGGUAAAAGUCUCAGCUAAAUUUGGUACUGCACAAAGAUUUAAAUCUUAAUGAAGAUUUAAAUUCAGAAAUUAUCUUGGAUUCUCUCAGCAUCCUGGUAGGAGAAAGUAAGUUGGGAGCAGGAGGUUGAUGGAGUCUUCCCAUGUAAUCUAGUUGGCAGUGAGUUGUGAUGCUGAUUCAUUCUCGUAGGAGGCUGUGGAGAUGAGCAGUAAGUAAAUUGCAAAAAUACAUCCUGAAAAAAGUGAAUGUGAAGGCUGAAAAUGAUCAAAAUACUCCCUGGAGAACUUACUCCUGCAUAUCCUUCAGGAUUUGAGCCUUUUGACUUUACUUGUAUGUUACAUAUAUAUACUGCAAAAGUUUGUCAUCCUGUAAAAGUGCCAUCACAGUUAAAUACUGUCUUUCAGCUUUAUGUAAGAUUUGUCUGCUGUUCUUGAUUGGUGUUAACUACUACGAGCAUUAAAUACUCAAGCUUUGUAUUAAAGAAAUGAUUUUUUUUUUUUCUGCUUGCAGCUAUAUUAGCAUGUGUUCAGAUUGAAUGCUUUAAGUUUCAGCACUGUAUGAGUUGAAACGUGUAGGAAGGCUAAUUGUGGUAAGUUCAAUCCAGUGGUGACUAUUACUAGUCCUAGUUAGCUUGAUGUAGAAAAGGCAAUAAUUUUUUGAAUGUCAUUUUGUGUGAGAGUGCAUGUGGCAGUGAAUAGCGUGGAUAAGGGCCCCUAAAACAUAGGCACAGGGUGAGGGCAGUUGGGUUGCUGGUGAGUAGGGGCCGGGUGCAAAUAAGUAGGAAGAUUCCGGCUACAGCUAUUUUGCUGGAGUGGAGUAUACUCAUGCAGGAUACUAACCAGUUUCCUGAAGAAGUGUCCAUUUCAUUUUAUGGUUGAAAAGUUGGAAAAGUGGUUUUGGUAGUUUAAAACAGCAGACGUAUCUGUCAUGCUCUUGUUGAUAUACAGGUGUGGUGUUUAUGUGGAAGCUGUACCUGUCACUCGGUAGAUGGAGCACAAGCAUAGAGCGCUUGGUGUCAUUUUCCUGUUGAGACAAAAGCAUGAACACAAAUUGGGUGGGUGAUGUGUUUAUACUUUCUUAUGGCUUUGAGAAGGUGGCACUUCUGCCUUGUCAAACCACAGUUCUCAAAGUAAUGCUACCUGCAUGAAAAAUGUCAGCAUAAGGAUGCCAUUUAUUACUGGUAGUAUUGCUUCCUGUGAAACUUUUUUUUUCUAAAGGGCUUUAGCCUGCAUUCAGAGUUUGUUGUUUUGAAAGAAAAAUUUUAGAAAGAGGCUAACUCCUUCUCUUCACUUCUUCAGCCUUUUACAUCCUCCAUCACAUAAAGGUUACAUGUUACAUCUACUUUAUAAACUGCAUUCACGACCUUCAGUAAAAACAUGUUGAUGAUACAUGUGCCCUCAAAACAGCAUGGACAAGACAAACACUUUUUUUUUGGAAGCAUCAUCUUCUAUUCACAGAAACCAUUUUGCCCCAUGACCUUCUAUAUAGCUUGGACUUUUAAUCGCUGAAUUGUCUUAGUUAAUAAAAAAUAAACAGAAUUUUAAAAAAGUGACAAGUAUUUUUCCAGGUUUUGUCUAUCUUCUGGUAAAGUGUGGUUCUUGGUACUUAGUUAAUGAAAAAAAUAACAAAAUGUUGAUGUUUAGGAAACUCACACGACUUUAUUGUAUAAAAUGGCUAUACUAGGUUUUUCAAAAUAUUACAGUAUGCAUUUUCAUGUUAACUAGCUUACAACAAGUAUUUAUCAGAAUCUCCAGUGACACAAAUGUAAAAUUAAGACAAUCUGAAAGGCUAUUUUAUUAUUUUUUUCUGUUUCCUAAGUCUAAGCUUUUAUGACUGCUUUCAGGGUAAUUUAUUCAUUUUGUACUACUGCAUUUAGUACAUGUUGCAUAGACAGACUUGGCUUUCACUGAACCUUUAUGUAUGCUUUAUGCAUCAAUGAGAAGUUGAGUGUUUUAUUCUUUAAAAGCACUUUUACAUGCUGCAAAUAAGGGAAUGAUUACUCUUCAGGCCAAAGUGACUUGCUUAGAUGAGGGCACUUGAAGGAUUAUUUGGAUCCAUGCAAAGUCCUCCCCAAGGCACACUAUCACUGCUUUCAACUUUACCCUGAACAUCACACCUUUGCUCAGGAACGGAAAUUAAAUUAUUUCUACAUGCCACUAUAAUUUGGGCAGGAAUCUACUCAACUAAUACCAGACCCAGACAGAGCUGUGACAGUCCUUUAAUAUAUAAAUAUAAUUAGUCUUUUCAUUUCCAGUCAGUGUAUGGUGUAUUGCUUGACCUGAAGAACUUGUGGUUUAGAUGAAGUGCUAUCUUCAAUUUCUUCAGCUAUUAAAUAAAUGUGUAUGAGAUUUUGAAUUUAACCAUUUUUCAGUUGAUUAAUACCAACUGGUACCAGAUGUCUUUCUCGCCCAAACUGAAAUUUUAGGUAUGACUAACUACAACUUAAGUAACAUGUCCAUUUCAAUUAGUCUGAGUAAAUAGCAUGUUUUAAACUAGUGCCUCAAAAAUGUGUUGUGAAUUGUUUUUUUUGCUAAAAAAAACCCCAAAACCCCAAACCCAAGUCUAAAGUGUUUGUAUCUUACAUUGACAGCACCUGAUCUGCUCUGAAUUUAGCUUAAACUAAGUUAAAACAGGUCUCAAUUGCUGUUACUGCAAAUGGACAUCUGAUAGCAAACCUCAAGGUGACGUCUGCUCUCUGUAAGGUUGAUGUACAGAGACACCAUAAUACUGCUGUACUAUACUGGUACAGUUUGGUGAAAGUGGUCCAGUACAGGAAUUUUAAGCUUGAGAGUGUGUGUUUGUCUUAAAAGUAUGUGUAUAACAGUCCAGGGAAACAGUCCAGAGCCUCAUACUUUAAGAAAACAUAGCUAGAUGGGGUGAGUUCUUCUAAUUUUAUAAUACUGUUAUUAUAAAAUAUAAAUACCAAUUUUAUUAAUAAUGACAAGAAUACACAAAUUAUAAAUGAAGGUAAUAUUUUGCCUUUUUUCCUGACACUUGGCUUCAUUUGUAAUGCUGAACCAACAGCAUCGUGGAGAUACCAGCCUGAGAUUCAUUCUUGAGUGUCUCUUGAACCAAUGAGUACAGGUUGAAAAGGGAAACUUGCUGUGAUUACAGGAUCAUAAAUAGGAUUAAUAAUAAUCCUGCAAUUGGAUUAAAUAAUUCCUGUUUCUGGCUAAUAGCUAUCUGAUUGCUCUAGAGCUCACUACCUUUAUCAGGGACCUAGAGAAAAAUAAUAGUGCUGGGAUUUCCCUUUAUUUCCUUACCAAGAAGUAGGUUGACCAGAGCCCAGAUAGGGUUAGAGAUGCGGAGAGCCCUUAAAGCCUUUGAGGAGUCAUGGCAGACAAGCGUGGUGGUAGAAGAAGCCUUGCAAAAAAGAUUGGAGUCUGAAGCAGGCCGGUUUCUGUUUAAUGCCUGCUUUGUGUAUGUGGAAGGUGAUUUGAGUUGAUAGUUCCCUUCUUUGCUAAGGAGCCAUGCACAUGCAGCUCAGUGGAAGAAAGGGCUUUGUUCCUGCCAUGUUUCUUCCACUCCUUGUGGAAGAAAUGGAUGAAUCCUUCUUUUCUGUCUGUAAGACAUGCAACAUUUUAAAUGUAAAAAGAUUUCCAGUUAUAUGUGAAGUGCAUUUGUGUUUUGUCUCUGCAGACACUGAAGGAAAAAGACAUUAAAAAGGUGGAGGCACAAAAACAUAAAAGGACCAGAAAUGUUGAUAGGAGAAGCAGGGUUGAGAUGUGACCGGCAAUUUUGUGUGUAAUGUGUGUGCACACCCGAGGACUUGAGGUGUGUGCUUGCCCAACGAGGCUGGUCUUGUUGGAUGAUGCAGAGCAGCAUUACUCUGCCUGCAGGUGCAGUUGGUGCUGGGGUGGUUGCUCUCCCUGCUGCGCACAGGACCCUCCUGGCAUGAUGCAGGACCUGGACUGCACUCGAACAGGGUGCUGGGGCCGUGGAUUGUAGGAGAGCACCUCGGAGCAGAGCAAAAAACCUUGUGAAAUCUUACCACAGCACCAAGAAAACACUAGCAGGCAUUUUAGAUGAAGGUUUACGUGUUAACCUGAUGGAGCUGCUUAAAACAAAAGGAAUGAAUUUACAUGUAUUUUUCUCGAGAUAUUUGUGUGAAGGAAGGCUCCUAGUUGCUUUGCCCACCGUAAGGCACAGAGUGGAGCAUUUCCCACCAGAUGGCACUAUUGCCUCAUGCACAGAAAAAGCAGGUUUUUGCUUCAGCUGAAGUUUUAAAAGCUGGUUGCCAAAGAGAGGUUUGUGACUAAAUGUACAAACAUUACAGAUCCGAGCAGUAUCAACAGUUGUCAAAUGGAGAAUUAGCUUGUUGAUCGAUCUGUUAAACGUUGCUGCUUGAUAAGGAUGUGAAAAAUCCUGACACAUGGCUGAUGAAAUGAACAUUGCUAUCAAUCCUUAACUGGAGAAACUGAUUUGGUUUUUGAGUUUUUUGGGGUAAAUUUUUCAAAGUCACUGUGGCUCUCUAAAGUGAAUGGUACUUACCUGGUCAUUUUCUGGCUGAUCUUCUCAAAGAACUUUUACUUCUAAAAUGAAAAAUCCAGACAGAUUGAAAAUUCACUACUUUUAACAUUUGUCUUUUUUUAUUAUUUCUAUUUUUUUUCUAGUUCAAGAAAAUGUCAGCUUGCAAAAUAGUUACAUUUUGAGAGAUUGUUGGCUGGCAAAUGCUCUACUUUUACCUUUGUGACUGAAAGAGAGGUUUUCCUAAUAACUUCUGCAAAGUGUCUGAAUCAGGAACGUGCUCCCUGCCUUUAGCUACCUUCUGUUGAUUCUAUAAUCAAAGACAGGGCGAGUCACAUCUCCUGAACCAUCCAAGUAGAGCUGGAAAGAUCCCUACUGGUCACAGCAACUACUUUGGGUAAUUGUGUUCCUCAUCUUAUUGAUUGCUGUUUUAAAAACAACUUUGUUUUGCCCUAUGUUCCUUCUCUUAUUGCAGUGUUGUUCCAGAAUGUCAAGUCUCUGAUACAUGGAAAUUUUCUUCUAUUCCCAAUCCAAAUUUGUUCACUUCCAGGCUAUACCUCUUUGUUCUUCUGCCAGAUUCAUUCUUUAUCUGCAGAAGUCCUUGUUCCCUCCUUUGGUAUUUGCCCUACUGAUGAGAGCAGUCAUCUCAUCUCUUAGUUUUUGUUUCUCAAGGCUAAAAAAGCCAAAUCUUUCCAUCUCCUCUGAAGAGAUAGGCUCUUCAUUCCCUUGAUUAUCCUGUUUGGGUGGUCCUGGGUAUGUUUCUGUUUCAAUCCAUCUUUCUUGAGCACAGAUGACUAGAAAUGGUACACAGUACUCAAGAAAAGGCAAGACAAGAGCUUUGUAUCAUGUAUUUAUCAAUUUCAUUGUGCCAUUGUGCAUCUCUGUGGGAAAUGGCUCAAUAUCUGUGAUCAAUUUAUAAGCUUUAUUGUCCUCAGUUGGUUCAAAUUGAUGCGUCCCCCCUAGAACAUUGAUUUAUCCACACACGUUUUUGUGGAUGCUUGAUUUUCCAUCUAUAAAUGCCUUUCAUGUGGGUGGCAUGGUUAUUUUUGAAAUUCAAAACUUUGGAUAUCCAUUUGCAUGCAUAUUGUGACAGUGGUGCUGUAAUGCGUUGUGGUGUGUUCAUUUAUUAUGAUCUGUCUUAUUUAGCUCUAUUUAUAUCCACUUUGUCAAGAGAAGAAAUAAAUGCUAAGAGUGUCAUCAUAAACGUGUUGAAAUAUAGUCUCAUUCAGACGACAGAAGAUUUGUGCCAGUAUUAGCAGAAUGAAAUACUAGAAAUUCCUCAUGAAAAAAGUGUAAUUUUUGUACCUAAUGGUUUGCA